ACUCCCCUACGGGGGGCAGCAGUGGGGGAUAUUGCACAAUGGGGGAAACCCCGAUGCAGCGACGCCGCGUGGGUGAAGAAGCGCCUCGGCGCGUAAAGCCCUGUCAGCAGGGAAGAAAAUGACGGUACCUGAAGAAGAAGCCCCGGCUAACUACGUGCCAGCAGCCGCGGUAAUACGUAGGGGGCGAGCGUUAUCCGGAUUUACUGGGUGUAAAGGGAGCGUAGACGGUUCUGCAAGUCUGAAGUGAAAGCCCGUGGCCUAACCGCGGAACGGCUUUGGAAACUGUGGAACUGGAGUGCUGGAGG
rnacentral:rRNA from 1 species